rnacentral:rRNA from 1 species
UGAGACCUCAGGUCAGGCGGGGCUACCCGCUGAGUUUAAGCAUAUCAAU